GAUGAAGAACGCAGCGAAACGCGAUACGUAAUGUGAAUUGCAGAAUUCAGUGAAUCAUCGAGUCUUUGAACGCACAUUGCGCCCCCUGGUAUUCCGGGGGGCAUGCCUGUCCGAGCGUCAUUGCUGCCCUCAAGCACGGCUUGUGUGUUGGGCCUCCGUCCUCCUCCCGGGGGACGGGCCCGAAAGGCAGCGGCGGCACCGCGUCCGGUCCUCGAGCGUAUGGGGCUUCGUCACCCGCUCUUGUAGGCCCGGUCGGCGCUUGCCGACACAUCAAUCUUUUUUCCAGGUUGACCUCGGAUCAGGUAGGGAUACCCGCUGAACUUAAGCAUAUCAAUAAGCGGAGGA
rnacentral:misc_RNA from 1 species